rnacentral:rRNA from 1 species
GACGAACGCUGGCGGCGUGCUUAACACAUGCAAGUCGAACGGAAAGGCCCUGCUUUUGUGGGGUGCUCGAGUGGCGAACGGGUGAGUAACGCGUGAGUAACCUGCCCUUGACUUUGGGAUAACUUCAGGAAACUGGGGCUAAUACCGGAUAGGAGCUCCUGCUGCAUGGUGGGGGUUGGAAAGUUUCGGCGGUUGGGGAUGGACUCGCGGCUUAUCAGCUUGUUGGUGGGGUAGUGGCUUACCAAGGCUUUGACGGGUAGCCGGCCUGAGAGGGUGACCGGCCCCAUUGGGACUGAGAUACGGCCCAGACUCCUACGGGAGGCAGCAGUGGGGAAUAUUGCACAAUGGGCGGAAGCCUGAUGCAGCAACGCCGCGUGCGGGAUGACGGCCUUCGGGUUGUAAACCGCUUUCGCCUGUGACGAAGCGUGAGUGACGGUAAUGGGUAAAGAAGCACCGGCUAACUACGUG